CAGGAAUGGAGUGGGUUUUCUUCCUCCUUCCAGCCUGCCCUGGUGCGCCCUCCAUGUCCCUGCUGCCCAGCUUCUUGGCACCAAGCCCCGGCAUCUUGUUAUCACAGGCGCUGUGCUGUCUGUCACCUUUUAUUACAAAACCUUCUGAAAUUCUCCAAAUCGUCUCGCCGGUUAUCGUGUUCAACCACAGUGUGCUUGCAGGAGCCUCGAGCUGGAACCACAAGGCAGCCACAGUGCGUCGGGGACUUCUGUUCUGUGCCCAGGAGGGCCCCCCUCCUUUCUCCUCCCCACUAGGGUCUCACACUGUGUCCCAGACUGGUCUGAAACUAUCUAUGUGUAGCCCAGGCAGAAGUGGCAUACGCAGCAAUUCUCCUGUCUCAGUGUCCUGGCUGCUGAGCUUGCAGGCUGACAGUGAGUAGUCUGAGAGAAACGGAUACACUUAGCGGUCUGCCUGCUGACCACAUGGCUGAGCUCUGCAUAACAGCCUCGAGGGGCUUUGCAGUUGACAAAUGACUCUCAUGCAAUGUCAUAACUCUCCGGAGGAGGUAUUCGUCCCCCUAAUUUACAGCUAAGGAAACUGAGGUGGCUUGCUCACCACCAUAGGUAGGGACCAGUUAUCCACAGUUCACAGCUUCACACAGAGGAGAACUCGGCCCGGAAGCUCGUGGGCUGAGAGAAGGAAAAAAAAAAACAGCAAGAUGGUUGAGGGCUGGGAUUAUGGUAUCAAAACCUAGGCUGAGGACUUGGGAAACCAGUAAGUGGGUCCUGGCUCUACUGUCUCUUGUCCUCUGACCAAAGAGCAUGUGCAGGUUUAGGGUACUCAGAGGAUGGCAUAGAAGCUGAGAGGUAGCCCAGUCCAUGUGUCCUUCAGGUGAAGUGUGUGUGUGUGUGUGUGUGUGUACACAAGCAUGUGUGCUGUGUUUGCAUGCUUUAUGUGUGUGCACAUGUCUGCAUACUCAUGUGUGGGCGUGCACAUGGAGAUGAGAGGACAACCUUGGAUGCCAUUCUUCAAGUGCUAAUCACCCUGUUUUGCUUUGGGUUUUGGUUUUGGUUUUAGUUUUGAUGCAGGAUCUCCCAGUGACCAAUCAGGCUAGACUGACCGGCAAGCAAGCUCUCUGGUGCCUGGAUUAUGUGCCUGGAUUAUGAACGCUCAUUACCACACCUCGCUUUGGUUUCAUGAAGGUUCUGGGGUCACACUCACCCCCACUGCACAGCCACCAUCAGCUGUGUCCUCUGGACAUUCUGACAGGUUGUUAGAACUGUUUCUGAGAAAAUAUGAUUCCCCACCCCAGCUUCAGCAUGGAUCCGGGCACCCCUGACAUUCAGUGGCACUCACUUCUGCUAAUAGGGAUCUUAGAGAUGAUCUUGGAGACGGAAGGCAUCAGUCCAAAAUGGCCACACAGCAAAUACAAACGGUGAGCCAGACAACUUGUCUCGGUGACACCUGAAUCAAGGCAGGGACCUUGUGUCACAAAGGGAGCAGCAGCCAUAAAUAUCCACAGUGGUGUGAAAUACCAGAAUGCUCUCCACAGCCCAUGAAAUGGACAUAAAUGUUUACUUCACACUAUAAUUAUGAAGAGGGGCCAUGGAUCGCCAUAAAACCCUAAAGAUUGAUGCUAAACCAACCACCUCCUUAGUAUCAUAAAUUCUGCCUGCGGUUAUAUGCAGUAUUUAAUAAACAUUAAUGAAAAUUUUGUUUAUAACACAUUUUUUUUUAAAAAAAUGGGGCUGGUGAGAUGGCUCAGUGAGUAAGAGCACCCGACUGCUCUUCCGAAGGUCCGGAGUUCAAAUCCCAGCAACCAC
rnacentral:lncRNA from 1 species